rnacentral:rRNA from 1 species
AUACGUAGGGGGCGAGCGUUGUCCGGAAUGAUUGGGCGUAAAGGGCGCGUAGGCGGCGCGGUAAGUCUGGAGUGAAAGUCCUGCUUUCAAGGUGGGAAUUGCUUUGGAUACUGCCGCGCUUGAGUGCAGGAGAGGUUAUCGGAAUUCCCGGUGUAGCGGUGAAAUGCGUAGAGAUCGGGAGGAACACCAGUGGCGAAGGCGGGUAACUGGACUGCAACUGACGCUGAGGCGCGAAAGUGUGGGGAGCAAACAGGAGUAGAUACCCUGGUAGUCCACACCGUAAACGAUGAAUGCUAGGUGUAAGAGGUAUCGACCCCUUUUGUGCCGGAGUCAACACAAUAAGCAUUCCGCCUGGGGAGUACGGCCGCAAGGUUGAAACUCAAAGGAAUUGACGGGG